UCUAGGAUGGCAGAACAAUGCCAAAGAUUUAAGAGCUUUUUACGGAAUAUUUUUCCUCCUAGAA
rnacentral:tRNA from 1 species